GCCCCGCGCAAAUGACGCACCGGUUGCUUUGCUGCCUCGUACAAGAAUUCUGUGAGUGUACAUUACCCUUGCAGAUGCGCGUUCUCUGUCGCUGCAAGAAGAGACACAGUUGACC
rnacentral:rRNA from 14 species